rnacentral:rRNA from 1 species
UACAGAGGGGGCAAGCGUUGUUCGGAAUUACUGGGCGUAAAGGGCGCGUAGGCGGCCUGUUAAGUCGAACGUGAAAUCCCCGGGCCCAACCCGGGAACUGCGUCCGAUACUGGCAGGCUUGAAUCCGGGAGAGGGAUGCGGAAUUCCAGGUGUAGCGGUGAAAUGCGUAGAUAUCUGGAGGAACACCGGUGGCGAAGGCGGCAUCCUGGACCAAUAUUGACGCUGAGGAGCGAAAGCCAGGGGAGCAAACGGG